rnacentral:lncRNA from 1 species
GUCUUCCAGAAUGCCGUGCCUUAGGAAUGCUUUAGGACCUGAACUUUUAAGACAGACUUAAUGUGGACUAUUUUCUAGAUAUCAUUUUUAAUAGAUUAAGCUGAAAGGGGUUUUAUAAAUUUUUUGGCCCAACAUUUUUAAAAAAGUGACUUUGGACUAGAGGGUACAUUUAAAAAAAUAAAACAGUUUUUAAAUUGUUUAGACACAAAUAUUUGGAAUAGCUAUUUUAGUGCCAACUGUUUUUUUAUUUUUUUACUUCAUCAAGGUAAUGUAGGUGACUCACCUUUAAAGUUAUAAUUUUAUUUUUAUCACUACUCUUGGGAAUGGUUUGUUUUCAGAUGCAGUUCUUUUAGGAAAGGAAAAAUAGCAUAAAAAGAUUUCUGCUUUGCCUCGUACAAGAAAAGGCAGUGUUGGAAGAAGAAAACAAAAACUAGAGAGACAAAGGAAUUUUUAAAAAUACUUAUUGGAAACAAGCUGCCCUUUCAUGGGAAAUUGUUUAUUUUUUAAUGUUUUAGUGAAAAGGAGUUCUGCUUUCUUAUCUUGGGGGAAGCAGGAACAGAGUUCAUCACAUCUUAAAUUUGUCAGAAAUUAACUUUUCCUGUGAUCCAGAAAUGGGUUUAGGGCAGAUUAGUAGGAAGCAAUGGCAAUUUUUAUUUAGUUUUACUCUCUGGGAAAGAAGAUAAUGCGGUUCCAGAAAGUGAAUCAUGUUUCGAAGGUUAAGAUUUCCUUUUAUUGCACCUAGAAUAGUGCUAUGCACAGAGCGGGUGCUCAAGUCUUUAUGUUUUCUUUUUUUAAUUGUAAGCUGGUACAUUUGUGCUUAUCUUCAAGGCUGGC